AUGCUUGGCAAUGGGGGUGAAGGGGUGUCAGAGAUUUCUGGGUGGAAGCCCCUUCCUGUAACAGACACGGCUGGCUUCCCCAUCCAAGGCCCAUCUCUGCUACAAAUGCGUGAAUGCCUGCGAGCAAGAACACACCAACGGAGGAACCUGGAGGGCCUCUGCCAGUCCUCUGUGCUGGAUCUGUUCCUCGCUGUCUCCUCUCAGCCAGGAGCUCUCAUGGGCCUGUUGUCAGGAACAGCCACAGAGGUCUGCAGGGCCUGGGAGAGAGUCGCUGCUGUUGCCUUUCUUCUGCAGGAGCUCAGCUUCUGGCCAGGGGAGGAGACACUGAAUCCCACACCAAGCAGGGAGUGGAAACUCACUGGUGAGUGGUCCAGGGGGGCCACAGGGCAAGGCUCUGAUGAGGACAGGAGGAGAAGGGGAUGUGCUAGGCAGGGAGAAAAGCUUGAGCAAAAGUGGGGAGGCUGGAAUGGACCCAUGUGGUGCUCAUAAACUAGGCAAGGACCUGUGAAAUGCAGGAGAUAAUAUCUGCGCAGUGAUCUCCAGCCAGACUCCAGCACCGCUUUUACUAAACUCACUGAAGCCUCACCACAAUCUGAUGAAGUAGGUUACCAUUUUAGAUGAGAAAAAUUGGCUCAGAGAGGUUAAGUAACCUGCCUGAGGGCACACAGCUAAAGAGGCACAAAAUCAGCAGGGUGCCAGUCCUGGCUUUGCCAUCAUGAGGGGUGAUAUAGAAGGGACCCAUGUGGAGUAAGUGAGCUAUCCCUGGCCCCUUCGCUGGGGCACAGGGGAGUAAGGGGCAUCACCAACCAGCUAACACUGUGAGGUCCCAGGCCCUUCUCCAGCUCUGGUUUGGAGGUGAGACAUUUUUGCAGCCUACGGGCUCCCAGGUAGUGUCUCCAACAUGAGACUACUCUCGAGCUGCGUCCCUGCUGUCUGGGCCUGUGUCACUGUCUCUGACCCUUCAUGACUGGAUGAAACUGUCCUCAUUCAGCCCCAGCUGCCAGACCUGCCUGAGCCUGUGUCCUGACUGUCAUGACCCAGCGCGGUUGCCAGGAAUUCCCACUUCCUGCUGUGGCUGCUGCCAGAAUGUCAAAGCCACCUCCGGCCAAGCAGCCCAGAGCUCCAGAGCGUCUGGCGGGGACCUUUCCCUCCCCUGCCCCAGCUAUUUUCAGGCUCAGCACUGUGGGCGGUGUUUUGGGAGAAGCAGAUUAUCUGUUUGGCAGAGUGAGCCGAAUCGCAGGGCCAGGGAUGUGAGUUCACAGAGACAGAACCUGAGAUACAGCUCUGUCUUCGACUUCGAAAAAGCCGGGAGGAAUGGCAUGUGGCUGUAGUCCCAGUGGAGGCAGGACUGCUUGAGCCCAGCAGUUCGAGGCCAGCCCGGGCAAUAGAGUGAUACCCCAUCUCUACAAAAACAAAAUUAAUCUUUAGAGACUGGGGCCACCACUCUGGAAGCCCCUGCCCAGGACCAGUGACUCAGAGCCAGGGUCAGGUGGAAGGAGAGGCUCAGAAAGACCUGGGUUUGCCCCACCGCCCACCUGGCUUGCACCCACCGACAGCCCCACCAAGCAGCCAGACCCUGCUCCCCACACCAGGUGGUUGUCCAGCUGCUGGGAUGGGAGGAUCCUAACAGCGGGCUGGGAUAAGAACCCAGGUGACCCUAUCCUCUCACAGUGACACUCCCAGAGCCCCUGCCUCCACAUCAUCCUCCAAACACUCUCCCAGCCCGCCAGUGCCCUUCACCUUCGUGAGACUGAGGGGCCUCUUUAAGAAAAUGAAUAUAAAACUACAAAUGCAGGGUUAGAUCGCAAAGUGAGUAUUCAUUUACGGCAAUGCAAACAACUAACAAAUUCAUAGAAGUUGACAAAUAUCACUCAAAUCAGAAAAUCCAGAAGACCCCUGCCCACCUUGCUCAGAAGCCUGUGUCUAAAUGGCCUGCCCUGCCUGAGUCAGGUGUUGGUAAAAGAACCAAUGUGCACCCCAGCACUUUGGGAGGCUGAGGCAGGGGGAUCAUGAGGUCAAGAAAUCAAGACCAUCCUGGCCAACAUGGUGAAAACCCGUCUCUACUAAAAAUACAAAAAACUAGCUGGGUGUGGUGUUGGGUGCCUGUAAUACCAGCUACUUGGGAAACUGAGGCCGGAGAAUCGUUUGAACCCUGCAGGCAGAGGUUGCAGUGAGCCGAGAUCGCGCCAUUGCACUGCAGCCUGGGCAACAAGGGUAAAACUCUGUCUCAAAAAACAAAAACAAAAACAGUGUGCACUAGCCAAGCCCUUGUGUGUCUCCUCUGCAUGAAAGAGGAAACUGAGGCUGCAGCAUGGAGAGGGCUUUCAUGAAGUGCUGAGGGCAGACACAGGCAGGCACUCAUGUUCCAGUGCUUGCAGAAGGUGGUCCAGCCACAGGGGACUGGCUGCUUUGUUAUCUCCCCACCCCCUUCCAAGAGGUCCUGCUUAGAGGCCCCGCUUCGCCCCAAGGAAUGCAGGCGUCAGUGCUUCAGACGCUGGCCUAACCACUGUCACCACCUCCCAGGCCCCCACUCUUCCCCUCCAGAUGUGGGCACAGCUGUAUUUUUAGAACAGCCGACCACGAAGACAUUCUUUCCUUCUAAUUAAGAUGGCUUCACAUCUCUCAUCCGCAAUUGGCCCCAUUGUUCAGUCCUCAAAUAUCAAAGGGUGGCCAGAAGGGGCCGCCUCUGCUGGUUGUGGGUUUGGGGUUUGUUUUCUUUCUUCCUUUCUUUGUCUUUGAACCAUUAAGCUGGAAAUGAGACCCAGAACCUGAGUGAAUGCCAGCUCUGAGGAGGAGGACUUUGCGUAGUUUGCAGGACUUGCUUCUGCACCCCUGCACCCUGUCCCCAACUUUGGGGUUGUCCAGCUAGGCCACAGCUCCCAGCACACCCUUCUAGGCUAGAGUCUGUCUGGGACAACUGGGGGAUCAAAAAAGGCCCUGUGGUGGUGGCUCACGCCUGUAAUCAAAGUGCUUUCGGAGGCCAAGGAGUUCAAGACCAGCCUGGCCAACAUGGUGAAACCCUGUCUCUACUAAAAGUGUAAAAAUUAGCCGAGCAUGGUGGCUAAUGCCUAUAAUCCCAGCUACUGGGGAGCCUGAAGCAGGAGAAUCACUUGAACCAGGAGGCGGAGGCUUUGGUGAUAUCAUGCCCCCUAACCUCUGCCCCCUGCCCCACAGGAGGUUCCUGGUGUGGGAUGGAGGUGCCCACCCACGUGUGGGGAAUAGGAAGGGCUGCAGGGGAAAUGGCCUCUGAGUAGCCUUGAAUGGCAUUGCAGUCCUGCAUGCCACAGCGCUCUCAAUUCCACUGACAGAUGAGGAAACAGAGGCUCAGAGAGGCCAACAGGCUGGCCCAGAGCUGUUCAGCCCACUAGUAGUGAGGUGCUCGGGAAUGCUCGGUUCCCACAGCUGGCCGUGGGCCCGGCUCUCCAGCAUCACUCAACCCCAGCGAUCAACUAGUUCUGCUGCUGCUGCUGCUGCUGCCUGAGCCUUGGCUCCAGGUGGAAGGCACCUGUCCCACCCCGCAUGGAGCAGAGAGGAGAGCCACGCAGGCGGGCCGAGGCCGGGUGGGGCUGGCAUCCGGCUUCUCAGCUCCCCAGGGUCCUGGCCCACCCGGCCCCGCGCAGCUGGGUGUGAGGAGGACACGGGAAGUGAAAUCGCACCGGGACGGGUGGCUCAGGUUGCAGGGCCGGAGCCUGCAAUCCGGGACAACGGCCAGGACUUGAGCACCCAAGGGCUGAGGGGCAGGAGGGCGAGGCAGAAAGGGGUGGCUCCCGCGAUGAAGUGCCACCCCACCCGGCGGGGCUCCAGCGCAGGCCUCCUUUGUUUCACCGCCACCCGUGAGCUUUCGCGGGUCGCCGGCGAUCGCGGGUGCCGGGUCCCGCAGAGCUCGGGCUGUGUCGCCCCCUCGCGGCCGGAACUGGUCUGGGCGGUGUCGGGGAAAUCCCGAAAAGCCCUG
ensembl:lncRNA